rnacentral:lncRNA from 1 species
CCCAAAGAUGCAAAUAGCCCCAAGACCCUUGGCUUUGUUCUUACAGGCAAAAAACUAAAACAUGGGACAAAAGGACAGAAAGCGACCUGGAAACACAGUCUGUCUAAUGCUGAGGCAACCUUGGGAUCAUAGUGCUUAUGAUCAGGACAACUCCAAUGCUCAGGCCCUGACAAGCACUAGCAAGAUUACUUCGGUUGCUCUGUGUUGGAGAGAUCUUGCAUUUAGUCCAGAGACGGUGAAAAGGCUGCACAUCAUUGGUGAGGGAUGA